rnacentral:rRNA from 1 species
CGUAGGUCCGAGCGUUAUCCGGAUUAUUGGGCGUAAAGACGAGCGCGAGGUCGGUUAGAUAAGUCUGAAGUUAAAGGCUGUGGCUUAACCAUAGUACGCUUUGGAAACUGUUAACUUGAGUGCAGAAGGGGAGAGUGGAAUUCCAUGUGUAGCGGUGAAAUGCGUAGAUAUAUGGAGGAACACCGGGUUGGCGAAAGCGGCUCUCUGGUACUGUAACUGACGCUGAGGCUCGAAAGCGUGGGGAGCAAACAGGAUU